rnacentral:tRNA from 1 species
GGGGAUAUAGCUCAAUAGGGAGAGCGCUGCGUUCGCAUCGCAGAGGUCGGGGGUUCGAAUCCCCCGGCCCCCU